UCAUCAAGAUUCCAUCUGCAUCCCAAAAG
rnacentral:sRNA from 1 species